GAGGGUACAGCUCAGUGGUAGAGUGUGUGCUUAGCAUGCACAAGGUCCUAGGUUCAAUCCCUAGUACCUCCA
rnacentral:tRNA from 1 species